rnacentral:lncRNA from 1 species
AAAAAAUGUAUUCUGAAAGACAAGAAUACAACGUUCAUGUAUCACAAGGAAUGACCGAUCUAAGGCAGAGAACCUGAUUUAGAUACACAAAUUCAUCACCGGUUUCUACAGCACAAGCACAUACGCAAUGAAGUAUUAAAAGAUGUUAGUUUCUUGACAGUAUGGUUUCUCGACAAAUGAAGUAUUAUCUGACAUCAUCUGUUCAUCAUUGUGUGAGAUUAGCCAAACGAGGAUGAAAGACACUCAAACCAUCUGAUCCCGUUGUUGCAAACUCCUUUAAUGUGAGAUUCUUCAAGUUUGCACAUUUUGAGAAAAUACCAAUGUGUUUGUCAGCUUCGUCAACACACAAAGUGACAGAAUGAUGUGGAAAAACAAGGACCAUUCACCUCUUUUAAUGAAGCAAUGAAGAUUGAAUAUGCACUAGGGUUUUUUCUCUUCCGGUUACCAGGCCUAUCAUUUUCGUCUACGUUUGGUUUCCUCAACGAAGAGUAUGUUGAUAUAGGAGAGUUGAACCCGACACGUCUUCUGUGAUGAUUCGAAACAUUCCGAAUAACUAGCAGAACCCGAUCCACUUACAUUCGAAUAACGCUGAGAAUCCACAACGCUUAUGGCCAGAUUCUUUCCUUCAAUCUUGGCAAAAUCAAUGUCUGCUUGUUUUAUUAUCACGAAAGUACUGAACAACCGAGAUAGGCACAAUAACAACAACAACUUUCCAUGAUUUGGAGACUGCUUGGAAUCGAAUCAGUGAUUUUACUGGAAGCCGUUUGAUUACUUCUUGUUUUAUUAUCACGAAAGUACUGAACAACCGAGAUAGGCACAAUAACAACAACAACUUUCCAUGAUUUGGGGACUGAUCGGAAUCGAAUCAGUGAUUUUACUGGAAGCCAUUUGAUUAUUUCCUCUUGGAUCUCGAAAGGCACGUUGUCUGACAUCUUGAUUUUGAUUACCAACUCACCAUAUCAAUUUCUAGGUAGCUAACAACGCUAAUUAGAAAAAAAAACGUGAUUCGUAUACACAACGGUCUCUUUGCUUCGUCCACUAGAACUAUUUGUGUAUGCAUUCUUUUGGUAGUUAACAACGCUAAUUAAAAAAAAAUCUGUAAAAUUAAUCAUAUCGAUUGCUAUAACAGGAUGGAUGUGACACACACAGAUAGAUAAGCUGUCACAGUUGUCAAGACUGUUUGUCGGGUUUCCAAUGCUCACACAGGGUGAUAAACAACGCUGAUACGAACACAUGUGUUUCGAAAUAGGCUUUGUUCUUGGUUUAAUGAAGUUACACGUAACAUCUACUUAUAUUGAGAUUUAAACAAUGCUCGCCUCAACUGAGAUAACGGACAUCCAUCAAGCUCAAAAAGAAAACUUGUGUUUCCCAUAGUCACAAAAGAUUGUGGUUUGUAUUUCGCAUAGCCACCGUUUCCGUAGUAAAAAAUGGUUGCGGUUUGUAUUUCGCAUAGCCACCAUUUUCGUAGUAAAAAACGGUUGGGUUUGCACAUUCAAUCUUCAAUACUUCAUUAAAAUACCACUAGUAGAAGAACGCGACACGUCUUCAUGUUACGGAGAAUGUUCUAGAAAUUGAAGGAAAAGGAAAAGAUUUGUUGAAAUCGAAUUUGACAACUAUGACAGCUUAUUAAAGGUAGCAAUCACCUCCAAUCAUUUCCUGGUCAAAUCACACACUAUAAAGAUCUGAAUAACAAACUGUGGAGAACUUGUUUGUGUCGUGUCUUGUAGUUUGGAAAGAUGACCUAAUAGAGAUCUGAAUAACAAACUGUGGAGAACUUGUUUGUGUCGGGUUCUUCUGCUAGUUACUUGAUCAACGGACUGAUUGGUAACGUUACUCUACUUGUGCUCCGAUUUAAGCGGCGUGUUCCGAUCAACGUUGUUUAAAGGUGAUGAAGAGUUUAGAAACCCUAGAAUGAUGGUGUUUUUACGGGAAAAAAACGUGAUAAUUGAAAAACAUCAAUCUAUACGGCCCGUAUACAGUUAUACGACCCGUAUACAUUUGGUAAACAUCAAAAACCUCAGAAAUAAAUCCAUUGAGCCGUAUACUUUUUAUAAAUCGUAUACACUUGUAUACGGCUCGUAUAACUAUAUACGGGC